UGAUAGCGAUGAAGCGUGAGGUUGCUGCCUAGAUGGCAGGUUUUCCGUGGAGCGAAUGUCAAGUUAGGAAACUGACGACAA
rnacentral:ncRNA from 1 species